GAUGAACGCUGGCGGCGUGCUUAACACAUGCAAGUCGAACGGAAAGGCCCAAGCUUGCUUGGGUACUCGAGUGGCGAACGGGUGAGUAACACGUGGGUGAUCUGCCCUGCACUUCGGGAUAAGCCUGGGAAACUGGGUCUAAUACCGGAUAGGACCACUUCUUGGAUGUUGUGGUGGAAAGUUUUUUCGGUGUGGGAUGAGCUCGCGGCCUAUCAGCUUGUUGGUGGGGUAAUGGCCUACCAAGGCGUCGACGGGUAGCCGGCCUGGGAGGGUGUACGGCCACAUUGGGACUGGGAUACGGGCCAGACUCCUACGGGGGGCAGCAGUGGGGAAUAAUGCACAAUGGGGGCGAGCCUGAUGCAGCGACGCCGCGUGGGGGAUGACGGCCUUCGGGUUGUAAACUCCUUUCGCUAGGGACGAAGCGUUUUGUGACGGUACCUGGAGAAGAAGCACCGGCUAACUACGUG
rnacentral:rRNA from 1 species